UACGAAGGGGGCUAGCGUUGCUCGGAAUCACUGGGCGUAAAGGGUGCGUAGGCAGGUCUUUAAGUCAGGGGUGAAAUCCUGGAGCUCAACUCCAGAACUGCCUUUGAUACUGAGGAUCUUGAGUUCGGGAGAGGUGAGUGGAACUGCGAGUGUAGAGGUGAAAUUCGUAGAUAUUCGCAAGAACACCAGUGGCGAAGGCGGCUCACUGGCCCGAUACUGACGCUGAGGUGCGAAAGCGUGGGGAGCAAACAGG
rnacentral:rRNA from 1 species